UUUAGUUUAUGUGUUGAGCCAACAACCUAUGUCGGGGCGGAGCCACUAAGAGACCAGGAUGGUCUCGAGCCCAACCUAAUCAGUCUUCCCUGAAUAUUCUAAUUUUGAUGAUGAGGGUGAAGGCAUAGUCAAGGCAGGGGAUGCUGUUGAGUUAACUGAGAGGCCUUCCACUUCUGGUGAGAGGGUGAAAGCAUAGUCGAAGCAGAUGAUGAUGAUGUUUAGUUGCAUAAGAGGCCUUCCACUUAUGGAAGUUUCAUGAGCAUGCUUUUGGGAGGCCGGAAGACCUCAAAAUUCAAAUGGCUGGAUUUGCCAAGACCCUCCUGUGGUCUGAUUCAGCUGCUAGUAGGUACAAGGUUUACAAACAAUGUUGCCUGAAAUAAACUGAGACCACUACACCGGAGCUCACUUUGGUCGGGUGCAAAAAUCAUCGAAAAGGAAGAGUGUGGAAAUAGGGCUCACAUACUUUGGCUUUAGAGGAAGUGAGAUGGAAAUGGAGAGAAAGCUGCAUGCAUUACUAGAACCGGUGGCUGGCUGCUGGAUUACAUAUUUCACCGGAAUGGUCUUUUCCUUUGCUUUCAGGCAAAAUGAAGAUCGUCUGGACAUAGGCACAUUCAAAAGCUCCAUUGCGUGGUAUGUGUAGUAUAAUGCAGGGAGCUCCAGACUUGUUUGAGGUCUUCAGUAUAUUUCUCAGAAAAAUGUUGUUCAACUACUAGAAUAUUAUUCACUGGACCUGCCGGGUACAGUGCAAACUUUAUGUAAAUACUAAACAAAUUAGUAAA